rnacentral:rRNA from 1 species
GACGAACGCUGGCGGCGUGCUUAACACAUGCAAGUCGAACGCGCCUGUUUUCGGAUGGGUGAGUGGCGAACGGGUGAGUAACACGUGGGUGACCUGCCCUCAGCUCUGGGAUAAGCCUGGGAAACUGGGUCUAAUACCGGAUAUUCACGUACUGCUGCAUGGUGGUGUGUGGAAAGUUUUUCGGCUGGGGAUGGGCCCGCGGCCUAUCAGCUUGUUGGUGGGGUGAUGGCCUACCAAGGCGACGACGGGUAGCCGGCCUGAGAGGGCGACCGGCCACACUGGGACUGAGACACGGCCCAGACUCCUACGGGAGGCAGCAGUGGGGAAUAUUGCGCAAUGGGCGGAAGCCUGACGCAGCGACGCCGCGUGGGGGAUGACGGCCUUCGGGUUGUAAACCUCUUUCGACCUCGACGAAGCGUAAGUGACGGUAGGGGUAGAAGAAGCACCGGCCAACUACGUGCCAGCAGCCGCCGUAACAC